UACGGAGGAUGCAAGCGUUAUCCGGAAUGAUUGGGCGUAAAGCGUCCGCAGGUGGCUGUGUAAGUCUGCUGUCAAAGAGCAAAGCUCAACUUUGUAAAGGCAGUGGAAACUACACGGCUAGAGUGCGUUCGGGGGCAGAGGGAAUUCCUGGUGUAGCGGUGAAAUGCGUAGAGUAUCAGGAGGAACACCCGUGGCGGUGAGCUGACGAUCCGGCUUUACGUCGGUAA
rnacentral:rRNA from 1 species